UGCGCGGUAGCUCAGCUGGCAGAGCGCCACACUGUUAAUGUGGAUGUCCCUGGUUCGAGCCCAGGUCGCGCAGCCA
rnacentral:tRNA from 1 species